rnacentral:rRNA from 1 species
UAAUGAAUCUUCCGCAAUGCACGCAAGUGUGACGGAGCGACGCCGAGUGAAGGAUGAAGUCUUUCGGGAUGUAAACUUCUAAAACCUGUUAGAAAGUUCUGAUCAGCAGGCUAUAAGUGGCGACUAACUCUGUGCCAGCAGUCGCGGUAAUACAGAGGCCACGAGCGUUAGGCGGAAUCACUGGGCUUAAAGCGUGUGUAGGUGGAUCGGUAAGUACCUUGUGAAAUCCCACGACUCAAUCGUGGAACUGCUUGGUAUACUGCCAGUCUUGAGGUACUCAGGGGCGAGCGGAACAGAUGGUGGAGCGGUGAAAUGCGUAGAUAUCAUCUGGAACGCCAAUGGUGAAGACAGCUCGCUGGGGGUAUUCUGACACUGAGACACGAAAGCCAGGGGAGCAAACGG